GAAACAACAAACUUCUAUUGCUUUGAGCCACCCAGUUUGGGGCACUUUGUUCGAGCAGCCUUCGAAAACUAAUAUCAACUUCGGUGUCUGCUCAGGACAGAAUGGCGACCACGGAGAACUCUGGACGGGGCGGAGGAAGAGAUUGCUCCCUUCUGUACUUUGAGCGGCAGCAAAGGGCUAUGACCAUUGCCCUCCUGGAUGCAGAAGGAGGCACUGGCCUCAUUAUAUGCAUACACCAUGACUGCUGUCUUAAACUCCAAUACUGCUGAACAAUUCAGAAAUAGAUCCAUUAUAGGUCUGCUUUAGCCCCAGGGCUUUAACACGGGUCACUAGAAAAUCCAAGAUUGCACAGUAAUUCAAACUCUUAAGAGGGAAAGGAAAAAAAAAAUUCUCUUCAGCACUCCCGCUCGCCCAGAGUCCCUCCCUCCAGCAUCACAGGGAGCCCCUCUUCAUUUCCGUAGUGCUUUAGAAUAAAUAGCUCUUAUGUUGAACUUGAAAUCUAAAUUUUUCGCCAGCUAUUAAUUGAUAAGAGAAGCUCGUUUUACCUCUUAUGCUCUGUAGUAAGAUUACGGUGUAAAUAAACUGGGUCAGGUUUAGCAGGA